UACAGAGGUCCCGAGCGUUGUUCGGAUUCACUGGGCGUAAAGGGUGCGUAGGUGGCGAGGAAAGUCGGAUGUGAAAGCUCGGAGCUCAACUCCGAAAUGGCAUUGGAAACUACCUUGCUAGAGGGAUGGAGGGGGAUCGUGGAAUUCCGUGGUGUAGCGGUGGAAUGCGCAGAUAUCAGGAGGAACACCGGUGGCGAAGG
rnacentral:rRNA from 1 species